rnacentral:pre_miRNA from 1 species
CAACUACUCCCUCUGUCCCAAAUUUCUUGUCUUAGAUUUGUCUAGAUACGGAUGUACCUAAUACUAAAAUGUGACUUGAUACAUCUGUAUCUAGAAAAAUCUAAGACAAGAAUUUUGGGACGGAGGGAGUACUUU